AAACCAUGGUGAGGGGAUUGAGUAGUGUAGCCCUUGAAGUGUUCCCAAGCUUCAUAAAAUGAUUCGGAUUGCCUUUGUGCAAAUCCCGAGAUCUCAUUCCUCAAUCU